UACGUAGGGGGCAAGCGUUGUCCGGAAUCAUUGGGCGUAAAGAGCGUGUAGGCGGCUCGGUAAGUCCGCUGUGAAAGUCCAGGGCUCAACCCUGGAAUGCCGGUGGAAACUGUCGGGCUAGAGUCCGGAAGAGGCGAGUGGAAUUCCUGGUGUAGCGGUGGAAAUGCGCAGAUAUCAGGAGGAACACCAGUGGCGAAGGCAGCACUCUGG
rnacentral:rRNA from 1 species